AGCGAACGCUGGCGGCAGGCUUAACACAUGCAAGUCGAGCGGGCCCUUCGGGGUCAGCGGCGGACGGGUGAGUAACGCGUGGGAACGUGCCUUCUGGUCUGGAAUAACCCUGGGAAACUAGGGCUAAUACCGGAUACGCCCUUUUGGGGAAAGGUUUACUGCCGGAAGAUCGGCCCGCGUCUGAUUAGCUAGUUGGUGGGGUAACGGCCUACCAAGGCGACGAUCAGUAGCUGGUCUGAGAGGAUGAUCAGCCACACUGGGACUGAGACACGGCCCAGACCCCUAGGGGGGGCAGCAGGGGGGAAUAUGGGAAAAGGGGCGAAAGCCUGACCCAGCCAUGCCGGGGGAGGGAUGAAGGCCUUAGGGUGGAAAAGCUCUUUUUCCCGGGACGAUAAUGCCGGUACCGGAGGAAUAAGCCCCGGCUAACUUCGU
rnacentral:rRNA from 1 species